GUGGCGGUGCGGUCCCAGCCGGCGUCGGCGUCGAGGAGGGCGCUCUCGCCGAAGUGGUCGCCGUCGGCGAGGACGGCGACGGGGUCCUCACCGCCGUACCUGCCGGCGGAGGUCUGGCCGAUCCGGCCGUGGGCGAUCAGGUGGAUCCCCUCGGCGGGCUCGCCGCGCCGGGUCAGCACCUCCCCGGCGCGGAAGUCGCGCUGGACGCAGCGGGCGGCGAGCGCGGUCAGCACCCGUUCGUCGUCGAAGCCGCGCAGCAGGGCCAGUUCGCCGAGUUCGCGCGGGACGACCCGGACGCGGGCGCCGUCCUGGACGAACUCCACGCCCCCGUCGCCGACGGUGUGGCUGAGCCGGCGGUUCACCCGGUAGGCGCCGCCCUUGGUCUCCACCCAGGGGAGCAUCCGCAGCAGCCAGCGGGAGGUGAUCUCCUGCAUCUGCGGGGCGGACUUGGCCGUGUGGGCGAGCCUGCGGGCGGCCGAGGUGCUCAGACUGGACUGCCUGG
rfam:Streptomyces sp. NRRL F-6491 P443contig158.1, whole genome shotgun sequence.